UACGAAGGGGGCUAGCGUUGUUCGGAUUUACUGGGCGUAAAGCGCACGUAGGCGGAUCGUUAAGUCGGGGGUGAAAUCCUGGAGCUCAACUCCAGAACUGCCUUCGAUACUGGCGAUCUUGAGUCCGGAAGAGGUGAGUGGAACUCCUAGUGUAGAGGUGGAAAUUCGUAGAUAUUCGCAAGAACACCAGUGGCGAAGGCGGCUCACUGGCCCGGUACUGACGCUGAGGUGCGAAAGCGUGGGGAGCAAACAGGG
rnacentral:rRNA from 1 species